UCCGGUUUGUCACCGGCAGUCUGAAGUGAGUCCCCAACUUAAUGCUGGCAACACUUCACGGGGGUUGCGCUCGUUGCGGGACUUAACCCAACAUCUCACGGCACGAGCUGACGACAGCCAUGCAGCACCUGUACCAGUUCCCGGCUUAACGAGUCGUCCCCCUUUCAGGUUUCUACUUCUGGCCUUUCAAGCCCAGGUAAGGUUCUUCGCGUUGCAUCGAAUUAAACCACACGCUCCGCUGCUUGUGCGGGCCCCCGUCAAUUCCUUUGAGUUUUAGCCUUGCGGCCGUACUUCCCAGGCGGAGUGCUUAAGGCGUUAGCUACGGCACGGAGGGGGUCGAUAGCGACCCACACCUAGCACCCAUCGUUUACGGCGUGGACUAC
rnacentral:misc_RNA from 1 species